rnacentral:tRNA from 1 species
GCCACCAUGGCGGAAUAGGUAGACGCAGGAGACUUAAAAUCUCCCAACUGUAUAGUUGUGCCGGUUCGAUCCCGGCUGGUGGUA